AGAAGUCAGCUUGCAGACCGUCCCAAUGAUAAUGAAGGUAGCAAGGCACACCGAACUGAUAGCUUUUAAUGUGGCCACCUUGGGAGGAGCUCCCAUUAUAUUGGGGAUGAGCUGGCUAGCGUUACAUGAUCCGCUGGUGGGCUGGCAUCAGAGAGUGGUUUCUUUUGGUUCAGCACAUUGCUUAGAACACUGCAAAGAGGGAAAGGGUUUGGCAGGGGUCCAAGCCACCCUAGCAGGGACUGAAGUAACAGAGAACGUGAAGGUACCACGACAAUAUGCAGAUCUCCGUGACGUCUUCAGCGAAAGGGAAGCUGACCAACUACCCCCGCAUAGACCCUUUGACUGUCAAAUCAACUUACUCCCUGGAGCACAGCUCCCUGUAGGCAAGCUGUACGCCAUGUCAGACAGAGAGAUGCAGGAGUUAAGAGAGUUCAUUGACAAGAACCUGAAGAGAGGGUUCAUCAGAGAGUCCAGGGCGGUGGGGGCAGCCCAGUGUUUUUUGUGGAUAAGAAAACACGAACAAGCCGAGGCUGGUGUGUGACUUCAGGGCCUUAAAUGCAGUGUCAGAACCAGUAGCCUUCCCUAUGCCCAGGAUUGACGACAUUUUGACAAGGGUGCGGAAGGGAAAGAUUUUUACAAAGCUGGACCUAAGGGGGGCGUACAACCUGGUACGAAUAAGGAAGGGGGAUGAAUGGAAAACCACUAUGUUCACCCCUUUAGGGGCAUUUGAAUAUUUGGUUAUGCCCUUCGGCCUCCAAGCAGGCUCCGCAACCUUUCAAUCGUUUAUGAACCACGUCCUGGGGCCUUUGCUUUACAAGAAUUGUGUGGCCUUUUUAGACGACGUGUUGGUGUAUUCUGAGAAUGAGGAGCAGCAUGUGAGAGACGUCAGAGAAGUGUUGAGCAGGCUGCAAGCCAACCAGCUGUGGGUGAAACUGGAGAAGUGUCAGUUUCAUACCAAGGAGGUGGAAUUCCUGGGGUAUCGCCUGUCAGACAAGGGAUUGGCCAUGGAUCCCGGCAAGGUCCAGGCUGUGCUGGAAUGGAAAGCACCCAAAACAAAGAAGGAUGUGCAGAGGUUCCUAGGAUUUGGGAACUUCUAUCGUAAGUUCAUCCGAAACUUUGCCCACCUGACGGCGCCCAUUACGGACUGUCUCAGCAGUAAGAAGAAGUUCGUGUGGACUGAGGAGGCGGAGCGAGCAUUUGAGGAACUAAAAGGGCCUUCGCCUCGGAACAACAACUCCUGCAUGUGGAUUUACAAAAACCGAUGAGAGUGGAAACUGACGCAUCAGACAGAGCGAUUGGGGCGGUGCUUCUGCAGCCAGGCAAGAAGGGGUCAGAGUGGAGACCGUGUGCCUUUUUUCGCGAAAGCUGAACAAAUCCGAGAGGAACUACACGGUGUAUGACCGAGAACUACUAGCCAUUCAUGAGGCGUUCCGGAGAUGGAGGCACCUGCUAAUUGGCGCACAACAUAAGGUGCAAGUGUGCACUGACCACAAGAACCUAGAGUAUUGGAGGACGGCACGAGUGCUCAACCAACGGCAAGUGAGAUGGGCCCAGGAGUUCUCCAAAUUUAACUUUGAGAUUAGUUACGUGCCAGGCCCAGAGAACAUUAGGGCGGACGCUCUCUCACGCAAACCUGAAUAUUUGGAAGGGGAGGGGGCACCCGAAGAGAGACAUGUCAUUCCAGAAGACCGCUGGGUGUGUGGGGCGGCAUUGGUGGGACAAAGAGAACUGGUAGAGGAAACAGAGAAUGAUGAAUACGCCCAGAAUAAGCUCAGAGGUCUUAGGGGUGAUGGAGAGGAACCAGGGGGUUUCGAGGAAAGAAAUGGAGCUUUGUAUUACAAAGGGGCACUGUAUAUCCCUGAAGGAGAGUUAAGGGGAGGGUACUCAAGCAGUUGCACGACAGCCCUACGGCGGGGCAUUUUGGACAACACAAAACCAUGUGGUUGGUCACCAGGGAAUUUUGGUGGCCUAAGGUGAGGGAAGAUGUACGUGAGUAUGUAAGAGGGUGCGAGCAAUGCCAGCGAGCCAAAGGGGAAAGGCGGGCGCCGGCGGGGCUAUUAGAACCCUUACCAACCCCAGAACGACCUUGGGAGGCAGUGUCGAUAGAUUUUAUGACUGAUCUGCCGAAGUCCAAAGGGAAAACAGCCAUCAUGGUGGUGGUAGACCUACUAACAAAGAUGUGCCACUUUGUAGCUUGCUCGCAUGCAGUCACGGCGGAAGAGACAGCGAAGUUAUUUGUAGAAAACAUUUUUAGGUUGCACGGGGUGCCAUUGAGGGUGGUCUCAGACCGAGGAAAACAAUUUACUUCCAGGUUCUGGAGGAAGCUCAUGAGCUUACUGCAGGUGGAGGUCAAUUUUUCGACUGCCCGGCACCCUGAAACCAACGGGCAGGCGGAAAGAGCAAACGGUGUCCUCCAGCAAUACCUGAGGUGUUAUGUCAAUGACAGAGAGAAUGACUGGGUAGAAAAGUUGGCGCUGGCGGAAUUUGCCUACAACAAUGCCGAGAAUGUGUCCACAGGGAUGAGCCCCUUCUUGGCUAAUUAUGGGUGUCAUCCCAGGGCUUUCCCAGGGGGAGAGGGGGAGAGAUGGAGCGUCCCGGCAGCCGAGCAUUUUGUGGAAGAAAUGGAAGCAAUCCAUCGUCAGCUCCAACUCAACUUAGAAAGGGCGAAGGAAGAAUACAAGAGGCAGGCAGACAAGAACCGAAGGGAAGGUGAAACCAUAAGGGUGGGAGAUAGGGUGUGGCUGUCAACCCAAGGGCUGCCGCUCAAAGGAGGUUGUAAGAAAUUAAGACCCAGGAGGUUGGGUCCCUUUGAGGUCAUUCAACAGGUCAACCCAGUGGCUUUCAGGCUCCGGUUACCCAACCACAUGAAACUGCACCCAGUAUUUCACAGGUCGUUACUGUCACCGUACGAAGGGGGACGAGAAGGGCUGGCCACUCGGGAACCGGUCGUAGAAGAAAGAGAAUGCAGCAGCCAUGUGGCAGAAAUCCUCGACGCCAGGUGGAAGGGGGAUCAGGUGGAGUAUUUGGUAGCGUGGGAAGGAGAACCGGAGUCAGAAAACACUUGGGUAAUGGCUGAAGAUAUCAAUGACGAGGUAUUGAUAGAAACGUUCCAUCAAAGGUUCCCAAGGAAACCUCAGCCUGUGGAGAGGUUCCGGAGGGAAUACUUUGGGACCACUGAUGAAGGGGAGGAGUUGGAAGGAUUCCCGGACUCGGAAGGGGAAGGGGAGAUGGACUCUGAGGAGGAGGUGUACUUCGAGACCAGGAACCGCAACAGGUUGAGAGAAGUGUUCGAGACAUCGGAAGAUGAAGGAAGUUCAUUCCGGGUUUGCCUCCUCUCCGCCCGUAGAGGAGGGGGCGAGAGGGGGUGAUGGGGGCCCUGGAGGGGAGGUGGAUGUCAGGGAACUGCCAUCGGACGGAAGGGAGGUGAAAGGGCUCACACAGGUUGGGAGAGACGCAGCAGCUGAAGAGGAAACCAACAGGGAGGUGAAAGGGCUCACACAGGUUGGGAGAGACGCAGCAGCUGAUGAGGGAACCAGCAGGGGGAGAGGAGCUGAGCUGGAGGGAUGGCUCAGAGACACUUCCAGCGAAAACAGUGGAGAGGUUUCAGGACCUCCUGUAAGAACACCCACUCCUCGCCGGAAACUGUCACGCAGAGAUUCCAGAAGACGUGUUUCCGUUAAGGAGCUUUUAUGUUGGAAGCGAUUACGAAAGCAACCACUGUCGGAAUCUGCUAGUGACUAGAGUAGCCAUGUCUGAGGGGCUCUGUCACAGACAGAGGUUUGUGGACUUGAACAAACUCUGAGGGGAUACGAUUUUACGCACAAGCAGCUCAUCAUCCCAUCACACUAUGU
rnacentral:lncRNA from 1 species